GGGUGCGAUCAUACCGGCAUUAGUGCACUGGAUCCCAUCAGAACUCCGUAGUUAAGCGCGCUUGGGCCGUAGUAGUAUUGGGAUUGGUGACCUCCUGGGAAGUCUCGGUGUUGCACCCU